GGCCGAGCAGCUGCGCCGGGCCCUGCCGUACCUGCAGAGCCCACAGGAGCCCCUGCGAGAGGCGGCCAUCAGGUUCAUCGGGAUGGCCGGGGAGCACCUGAGGGAGAAGAAGAAAGAGAUGCUGCUCAUUUGUGAGGCCCUUGAAGACACAGCAUGUGACAGCAGCCUGGAGGUUGGAAGCCUGGCACUUCAGACUUUGUGCCUUCUCAGGGCAGGAGACCACGCUCCUAUCUCCACCUUCCAGAGGCUGCGAGAUCAGCUCCGCAGGGCAUG